UAGAAUGCUGGGUGUCUCGUGAGUGCAUGCUGGGUCGCUUGUGGUUCCGUGAUCAUAUGCGUAAUGCGACGAGACGUCACUCGUCUUACGGUCUUGCCUUCUGCUCAGCAUUGUAUUAGCUAUUUGUAUAUGCAACUCUGAAAACUUCGAACUGCUACCUUUCUACUAUCGCAGUCGCUUGUAGAUACCUGUCCUGUUACUUGUGUGUACGUGCGGCAGAUGUGUUCUCGUGUGGAUGUUCUUAGUGAAAACCUGAAUGGAUGUUCUUGAAAGAAAAUAACCUGCUGAAUACUACUGGACUAUUAAUUCACUACCUUGCUGUGAUUGUUUGUGCAAACUGGAUGAAACGAGUCUGACCCGAAAGGCAACAAGAUUCGGUGGUCUCCUUGGUAUGGCCCCCCGAAAGGUUCUUGACGUUUUCUUAAGAUGUUUUUGUUGGUGAUGUUGGCGGGCCUCUCUCGCGCGGAUGCGUCAAAGGGACCGGCCCUGGACUGCGCGCUAGGUCAGGAUGGGCGCCGGGGUGGCGGCCCGGGUUCUCUCUGUGGUGGUGACCGUUGCGGUGGCCGCGUGGGCGGCACCUCGCGACUCCGGCGCCGGCGGCUGGAGCACCCCGACUACCUCGCCGGCGACCUUCUCCAGCGGGACGGCGGCUCGUGCAGCUGUUUGGCGGGCCGCUUUGUCUGGUCCUGGUGGUUGUUGCGUCGGUGGCAGCCCGUGCUCAUCGCUUGGUGGUUGUGGUCUGGUGGUUUGCGUCGCGUUGGCUGCGGUUCUUCGUGGAUGGUUCGACUCGGGAAAGCUGCCACAUCCGGCCGGUUCGGCUCGCUGGUUCUGGUCCGCGCCAAGAUUUGUGGUGGCUUCUGCUUGGUCACGACGCGAUGGCUUCGUGAAAGGUGUGCGGGCUACGGGAAGUGCAGUGCGUGGGGUUGUGGUGUUGGGUGGUGCUCCAGACAAAAGCUUGUUGGGCUCUUACCGGGCGACGGCGUCGGCAUCCGUGGACGUCGUCUCACCUUGGAGGCGCCGCCAAGGAGUUCUUUUCUUGCACAUCCUCGAAUCUAGUUCUUCGGGUGAAAGUCUAAGACCCGACUUGGUCGGGCAACAACGUCUUGCAUCGUCGCUGCCCUCUUUGGGGCAUCGUCUUGAAGAUCUUUGUAUCCCGUUUGCGCGCUCCAUGUGCUGGACACUCACGAUAUUGCUAUCGGUAGGUGCUCGUCUGACGAUGUGGAUGCUUUGCACGGCUUCUUGUGUGGCAAUGAUGGAGGCUUCGAGCGGAGUCGGGUUUGCAGCUGUGUUCUGGUAGUCGGUCUCAUCCCGCGUGUUUGAGGGGUCGUUGUGUCUCGCUUGUCUUUUGAAGUCGGAGCUGCUGAGGAGGAGCCUUGCGAUGACGAUGGCCCAGUGCUUUUUCUCCUGCAAUGCUCGUCAAUAGUCGGAGUCGCUUGGUCGCCGACGCGUGGUAGUCGGUCUCAUCCCGCGUGUUUGAGAGGCCGUUGUGUCUCGCUUGUCUUUUGAAGUCGGAGCUGCCGAGGGGGAGCCUUGCGAUGACGAUGGCUCUAUGCUUUUUCUCCUGCAAUGCUCGUCGAUAGAGUCGGAGCCGCCUGGUCGCCGGCGUGUGCGGUGGACUGUUUGGCAUUGGCUGGCGCAUGCCUCUGUGCUUGUCUGUGAUAGAGGCUACAUUGGUGGUCGUCGAUGGUGGAGUCAGAGUCGCCCUCAUGGAGUUGUGAUGACAAUGACACCGGAUUGCAAUCUCGACGACGCUCUUCUCCUCGACGGCAUGUGUACGUUCUUGUGUGGGUUGCCAGGUCAUCCUGUAUGCCUUAUUUUUACGAGCAUGUUGUGACGAUUUUUGCUCGUUUUUUGUUAAUUAAUUGGGCAAUUUUCUUCGACCUUUUUUUAAUAAAUCGGACCCUGAAGACCACGUUUAAAAAAAGAAAGAGAGAACACGGACAACAGACGCCAACGUUGUUUGUUUUUGAGGACCAAGUAUAUGGAAGUUGUCUGCUAAUAAAUCGAUUUGUGAGCCGUCCGAUUUAAAAUCUGAGGCUGAUGUGCUUUCUUGUUUCUACAUUCUGACCUCUUUUCGUUCGUCCCACCGGCGCCGGCCACCUGCUGUCGCCAUCCGCGGCUGCGCUCUCGCACACACCUCGCUCUUCUCGCCGCCACCGCCGAUCUGUUGCGCGUCGUCUUCCACUCUGGGUCACUCCCCGUUUGGCUUCACCGAUGUCGCCGCGGCGCAUCCGUCUAGGUCUCGCCGCUUCGCCUAAAAUUGGUCAACACAAAUUCGUUUUUUAGGCAACUUACAAAUAGCUAUGCAUUGUUUUUAUGCAUGCUUUAUUUUACGGAUUGUUUUUAUGCAUGCUGGUUUAAUUACUCACUGGAAAUGUUGGCUAGAAAUAGGCUAGCCCACACUGGAUAACUGUACGUGUUUGUUAAGACAAGUUAUGUUUCAUCUGUCACGGCUGCUGUACAUGUUUUUGGAACAGAGACAAGUUCAGCCACGUGAUGUAGUAGAUAGAUUGUACUGUACUACUCAAGUGUAUAUUGAUCGUUGGACAAUUUCAAGUUUUCAACCAAGUGAGCGGUAGGUGGGCGGCGGCUGCACGCGGCCGCUCUGUUGUUCCUUCCUUCCUCAUCCUCUUUUCCCCGCCUUGUCGCCCGUCCACGCCGUGGAGAGACCGCAGACCAGAGCCGUUCGCACCGCCAUUGCAGCUUGCCCAGGCAGGUGCUCGUGCGCUCCUGCUCGCCCGCGGCCCCUGCCCCUCCCCCUCCCCAGGUCCGUUCGUUCGUUCCCUUGUUUCUGAUAGAAACCUCUGGUCAUCCAGGCUGCACGCCACCUGUUCGUUGGAAUGCUUCUGCCCGCUGUACGCCGUUUGUCUGACCCAAAACCUUUCACUUUCCUUUGAUUGUGCUGCGCAGCAGCGAUGGCGACGGCGUUCUCAACCAAGCAGCCCCUGCGGGUCGCUACGCCUGCAAGCAAAUGUGAGCCUUUUCUGGCCCUUCGCUGUUCGUCAACUCAUUCAUUGUGCCUUGUGGGUGCUUUUGGAUUACUGCAACUUUAGCACUUGUUGGUUGUAGCUAAGCCUGGGAAUAGUUUCACAUCCAAACCAAAGCUAGUCCAGUCCAUAGCACUAUACGCCCAGGAUUCAAACCAAACCGAUCCAAACCAAAUAAGCUAGAACCCAGACCAAACCAAAUUGUAUGUUUUUUCAACCCAACCACAUCCAGAUUGUUUCUGAUUUUUGGAUUGAAACCACAAACUCGAACUAUGGACAAAGCCCUUAACGUGAAAAGGGCAUAAGCAGUCAACGACCAAGCCCAAUCAGGGAUAAUAAUUUCUAAAGUGAUAUGGGCAAUCCAGACCAAGCUAAGAGCAUCUACAGCCGCAACCUGCAAAUCUGGGCCCUCAAACGCACACGGCCGCGUCCGGCGCGUCCGCGGACACUGACCGCACACUUCUCAAAUCCUAUCGUCCAUAUCCGUGCAUCUCAUAUUCGGUCCCUAUAUCCUUACUAAGCAUGCAACGUGGAACUAAACAACGUAGAUCAUCAAACACACAUAGAAUCGGACAUAGAAAUGCACAUUCCAAUCACCAAAAGAUCACCAACGGUUCUCCAAAAGAUCGCCAAAGUUCACAUAAUUCAUAUAAAUGACGGACAAGUUUAAACUGGAUUACUAAAAACUUGAAAUUAAAGACAGAGACGGUGGAGCUUCACCACUUCCUCACCGAGCCUUUGCCCUUUCGGUCGCCGGUGCAUAUAUAGGCGUCCGCGGCUGGUGGUGGGUCUUGGUUGUCCAAGGAGGAGGUGAAGCUGUCGCGGUCGCCGUCGUUGUCGUCGGAGUCGGAGAGGACGAUGAGCCCUGUCAUCCGACGGACCGCCGUGUCCUUCUCCCGCUUCAACUUGGCGACCCGAGCCUUCUCUGCCGCUGCAUCCUUUGCCUCGCACUCCGACUGCUCAAUAGCAAGCCGGAGCGCCUUGGCGUUGUUCCGCCGGAGGCGGCGAGCGUCCGUCUCGCCGUCGUGAGGGACCGACGGUAGACCCAUCGGAGGAGCCGCGCGUCCUCGUCGGGCUCUGCCUGCAUCCCGCGGCGGCGGUGCACGGACUUCUCCGCAUUGUCCCUCUCCCAUGCACGCUGCGCGAACCUCCGGUUCCGGAAUGCGCGUGCGGGCCGACAGCGCGGGCACUAGCACCCACCGCCGCCCGCGUGGAGUGGCCGGCGGGGGAAGGAGACGGUGCGAGGGCGGUGCGGACUACGUGUCCUAGCUUCGUUGCAUAUGGGCCAGGAGGGUCCAACUCCGGUGUCCGCGUUGCGUUGGCGUGGGAGCUGCGACGACGCUCCAGAUCCGGAGCUGCCGUAUGUGUCCACCUUGGACCGCUCCAACGCAAUGCGGAGGGCCAUCUCCUCCUCGCAGUCGAGCUCGGAGCUGGGGUCGCUGUAGGAGCUGGACAUCGGAGUUGAUGAGAACGGAAUUAGAGAGGGAGAGGAGAGGACGAAGCAAGAGAGAGUGAGUUUGGGGUUCGAAGUGAGGCGCCAGAAUUGGGGUUUUUGUGAGACAGUUGUGGGGUCGGUGGUGGGUCGGGCCAGCCAGGCAGACGCACGCGGGCGUUCCAGGGCCGCCCCAUAUCUGCCCUAUAUUUGGGCUAGAUAUGAGGGGCGCCGGUCGGCCCAGGCUUUUGUCCGCAAUUUGAGAGGUCCGGUAGGUCGUUUUUUUUUUGACCAGUCAGUGACCGACGACCUGUCAGGGCAUUUGUGACGGGUAGCAUGUCUACCUACAGAGGCGAGAGGUCGUGGGUGAGAGAGAGGGCCCACCCACCUGCAACAAAAGCUUGGCGUCAUCCAGACGCCCCCGCCGUCGACGCAGCCAGGAGGACCAAAGAGUAGGGAGAGUGUAGGAGGAAGGACAGGGUACAGCUGGUGACAACGGCACCUAACCUGGGGCGGAUGGAAUCGCUGGUCUCGUACAGAUGUAGAGUCGAAUUGGUCGCUUGAUCCAGUUUUUGUCUAUGGAUUGAAACAGGCUAUGACCGUUCGGUCUCUGUCCAGACCAAACCAAGCCAAUCUACUAUAAUUGCUACAGCCCACACUAGACCAAAUUACCACAGGUGCUCAGCCCAUUUAAUCCAACCCAAAGCAAACUGAUGGGAAAACCGAACUGAAACUUCAGUUUGAGUCCAAACCAGUCCCAGGUUUAGUUGUAGCAUUAGAAAUUGGAACUUCCAGCAGCGCCACCAUGAUUAUCGGCGGCGCCCAAUUCUCACAUUCAUUUUGUUAUUAGGGCGUCCAAGGUUGCCACUGGUUAAAGUGCAAUAUUCGUCCAACAAACAAGCUAGUGCUUCCAUUUCAUUGACGUCCAGUGCGGAGGAUGCGGAGAGAAACGAGCCCAUAGUCAAAAUGUGCGGCAUCACAUCUGCCAGAGAUGCAGAAUUCGCCGCAAAGGCUGGAGCUAAACUUAUCGGGAUGAUUCUUUGGCCUAAGUCCAAACGAUCUGUCCAACUGUCAGAAGCGAAGGAAAUAUCCAGAGUAGCAAAGUCAUAUGGGGCUGAAGCUGUUGGUGUGUUUGUCGAUGAUGAUGAAGAGACCAUCUUAAGAGUGUCUGAUUCAUGCGACCUUGAACUUAUCCAGGUACAUUUUCCUUGCUGCUGCUACUCUCUACUACUUGGUAGAACGAUGGUGACUUGUUGUGCUAGUCUUUACUGAUCAGUUGCUUUGACACAGCUUCAUGGAGAUAGUUCUCGAGCACUAGUUCCUGCUCUUGCCAAGAACAACCGGAUUGUAUAUGUUCUUAAUGCUGACGCGGAUGGAAAACUUAUCAAUUCUCCUCCUAGUGAAGAAUAUGACGUUGACUGGUUUUUGGUGGACAGUGCAGAGGGUGGAAGGUACAUAAUGUUGCUCAUUGGGUUGUUGUACUCUCUAAUAUCUUGAUGCUUGUUGUUGUACUAGUUAACAAUGGAGACUAGUGAAGCUCUUAUCUAACAUGCCAGUUACUCACCAAACAAUAGCAAUAUUUUCUUUUACAAUAAUUUCUCUUGUGUUUUAGUAGUUCAAGUAGCGGGGAUUUGGUUUAUAGGAUAAACAUUGUGUGACAUCUUUAAACAGAGUUCACACCGUUGUGUGUUCAAUGGCAAAGUGUGUGACCUGUGGCAAGUAAGGUCCUCGCGCCUCUGCAAAAAUUACUAAUGCGUGUGUUGGAUGCACACUCAUGCAUAUGCUUCCUCGAUACUCUCAAAAAACAUUUUUUCAUUCACACUUUUGGAAUGAAUAGUUACCGCUAUGUAAAUUUUUAUUGCCUGGAACCAGAAGCAUAUACUGAUGUGGAAUCUAUAGGUCUGAUUAAAUCGUUCCGUAUUUGCUUGCAGUGGCAAAGGAUUCAACUGGGAGAAUUUCCGAAUGCCAUCGGUGAAAAGCAAGAACGGCUGGCUGUUAGCAGGAGGACUUCAUGCAGACAAUGUUUGUCAAGCCGCUACCGCUCUAAAACCAAAUGGUGUGGAUGUUAGCAGCGGAAUAUGCUCUCCUGACGGUAUAAGCAAGGACCCGAAGAGAAUAUCAUCCUUCAUGAGAAGCGUACAGUCCUUAAGUUCCCGAUGAGGUCUCUAUUUAGACUCCCCAGGCUUAUUAUAGCUUCUUGCUUCAGUUUGUGAAGACAUUUGCAAAUAAGCUGUCCUGAAUGAUAGCAGUAAAUAAACAACUUUGAAGCUGAGUUCCAACUAUGCUUGUCUAAUGGUAGCAUUAGACCAGUUUCUGCCAUUUUACCUGUUAAGAUAGUAAGAUGGUGUAAAUGUAACUAUGCAAUUCUUCUCCUGUUCGUCGCCGUGCGUUCUUCUUGACUGCAGCAACAUUGUCGGCUGAUCCCAGGCACCACCUGAGGGGCUGCCUGGACGGAACGUUGAGGGAGAAGGGGUAACGAUGGGUUCAUCGUGCCUCCUUGCCACUGAUAGUAGAGGCAGAGUGGGGCUGUUGUGGCCUUGUGGGCAUCAGCAGAGGGCACGAUGAUCACCCUCAAAUCUGUCAUUGUUAAGACCUUACUAAGAUUGGCAUGUUAGAGUUUGGGCAUUAGGUUUAACGCAAAAACGAUCUACCGUGGAUGAUUAGAGCACCUCAUCAUUAGAUAGAAGCGUGAGCAAAACCUGUGAUGCCAUGUGAGCACCCGAUAAGACGCGGCAGUGUGCGCGCGCGGAUUAGAUUUCACGAUUGCUAAAACAGAAAAACAAAUUCAGUCGGCGUGCAGGCCUUCACUGUCGUCCAGGUCUCUCCUCUAUCUCCGCCUCCACCGUCCCUCCCCAGAGCCCACCCCGCAGGCAGUUGGGUGGCCGCGACGGCGCCGCCCAUGGCCGCGCCACUCGCGCGUGUGCCGCUGCUUCGUGCGCCCAGCCGGCCCUUCCCCACCUCCAGGAUCAACCCCCGCCGCCACUUCCGGCCAUCGGUGUCGGUCGCCGUAGGAGGCGUGGGCGGCCCCGUGCUCCGCACCUGCAAGAAUUGCAAGAAGCAGUACGACCCGGCGGCUAAUCACCCCUCAUCCUGCCGCUACCACACGGCCCACUUUGGAGGUGAGAAAUCGUCUCUCUCAUAGCUAUACCUGCUUAUCUUCAGAGUUCAGACACAGUAGUUGGUGAGGAUUCAUCUAGUACCAAAUAGCCCUGUCUUUGUAAAUGAAUUGUACUGCCCAGUGAGUUCGAAACCAUGAUUCGCGAGUAACCACUAGCCGUCGUAUGAUCCGGACUAAAUGUGAGAUCUUCCGCGAGCAGUUUUCAAAUUUAUCUAGUACUCUUAGUGAUCUAAAAGGUCUUAUAUAAGUUUACAGAGGUAGUAAUUGUUCUUUUAUUAGAACUUUGCAUAAUGGUUAAGUUGGGCCUCAUUUUGCACACAAUUUCGAUCUUGUUUUGUUUGAUUCUUGUAGCUUUAGCUGGCCUUCUAUCGUCUUGAGAUACUAGCAUUUUGCUUAGAAAACUUUAUGACUUGUGGAUUGUGAUUAUGGCCAAAGUCGUCAUGAGCACCCUUUUACCAUUUCGAUUGGAGAGGCAUACUAAUUGAGUUGUUUUGUCCUCGAGACCUACAUAGAACUAAAUGGUUCAUUUCUGCCGCUCCAGGGGAAACAAAGAGAAAAUUUGAAAGUGUCCAUUCUGGUGGGACUAUGGAUACUCCGGGUGCAGGCAAAGUGCUCCAGUACUGGCAUUGUUGUGGGUCAGAGGAUCCAUUUGAUGUUGGUUGUACUGCUGCUCCUCACUCUUCAUACGAUGACUAAACACCUGGAUCGUUAUCUGUCAAUUGUGCUCUUGUGAUUCUACUUUUUUUCCCACAUGAAUAGUGGUCCACUGAUUGUGUUUUUUUCCUUGUGUCUGAGUGGCAGCAUCUGCCAACAUGAUUUCUUCUUCUUUAGCUUUCUUACAUUAUCUGGAAACUGAAUGUUCCAUAUGUACAUACCGUCUCUACAUUGUUUAUAUUGCCUUACAUUCUUUCUUUAUUUGAAAUUUGAAUGUUAUCUAGGUAUAUACUCGUUAGCAAGGGAAAAAGGCACCAGGGGCGUUAAUUGUGCAUUUUGCCGCUGCCUAGCGCAUGCCUACCAUGAUUUAGGCUAGGCGUUCUUUUGUCGCCUAGUGCUUAAAGACACGAUUGUGGCACUAAAGUUUGUCUUGAAGUAUCUCCCGGGCUGUCAUCUCAAGCAUUGUUUUCAGUUACAUAUUUGCACAGCAGUAUUAACUGUCUGCAGCGACAAUCCCAGUUUGCAUAAUAGGUUGGAUGAUAACAGGAGCAUGGGAGCCACCGGUGGCAUAAAAAAUCAGGCCGGCACCUCUGCAGAACACUUUCCGCUUUCACAUGCUAAUAUGCCAUGCCAUUGGGACAAAUGGGAUCGAGCAGUAGUACUAGAGGCUAUGUGAAAACAGUGGAAUGAAUACUGUCUGUCAAGAUCAGUUUGCUUGGAAUAAGGAAUGGUGCCUAGUUAUUCCAUGGCUACAUCUUUCAAAAAUAAAACUAGGUAUAAAUAUUGAACUGAACUGAUCAUUUUGCAUCAUGUGAAUUCAUGGAGCAAUUACAGAGUAUAUUCAUGAUGACUGGGACUUACUAGCCUCCUUGAUCAUGUUCAUUCAAUCUACCGGUUGCUCUCAUCAGGUUUCCAAGCUUUGUCCCUCCCUUAGUUGUUGUACCCUGCUACUGCUACUAUGACUUAUCUACCGCUAUCUUGUUUCUGCGGCUAUGGCAUGAACAAAUGUUUGAUAAUUGUAUUACCUUAUCUCCGUGCAUGUGUAGUUGAACAAUCCUGGCAUGUUGUCCUCUUAUCUUGUUAUCCUUGUGCCAGAGUUGUUUGUCCAUUGUAUGGCAUCAACUUUACUAAGGACUUAAAAUUCAGUUCAAGCCUACCCAACACUUGUUUCCUUAUUUUCUCCUUAAUCUCUAACAGUAGGGAUCUCCAAGUCUCUGCCGCCUCAAGUAAAAAAAAACGCUCGUCUUUUAUUUGCAUUUUGAGCUUGUCUAAUUUCAUUGUUUACAUUCAGCGGAUUAGAGUGCGACGACCAAAGCUACAGAGUGCGGCCUCUCCUGCUUUCCCUACUGUUUUUUUUUUUUUUGCGGAAACCCUACUGUUCUAGUUGAACCAGGUCUUUAGCUUACUGCCUGCUUCUUGACUGGUUGCACCAUAUACAUUGACUAGAUUCUAAGAUUCCUUAGAAAAUCUAUCAUUAACAACCAUCCUCAUAUGAAACGUCCCUACUUCAGUUCUGGCCAAAAAAUAAAAGUUCCCUUGAAUCCCCAAUUUUUUAAAGCUUCCCAAAACCUGCUGGGAAGCUUUCGGAAGCUUCCCAAAACCGGACCAGCUUCUCCUGCUACAAAGCAUAGAUGGGCCGGCCGAUUCACACGUCUUCAUCCACCCUGUACCAAUACACCUCAACUAGCGCAGAAGGCGUCAAAUAAGAUUCGGGCCUCUGUUUCUAUGGGAGCAGCUAUGUAUCGCUUGUUUUUUUUUUAGCAAAAGCUACGUAUCUCCUGUUGCAAGGCCAGAGGAGAUCUCGCCUCAAGGGCGCCCUCCCGGCGCUAUUAUUGGGUCGGCCCAAGUAGCACAUUGUUCAUUAUUUAUUUAUUUAUUCGUAUUUUGGAACAAAAAAUAUAAAUACAUAUAUUCUAAUACUUAAAAUUACUUAAUUUCUUUUCAAAAACCACCUAGUUCAAUUUUUUUAACACGAUUUAAAAGCAUUUUUAGCGUACUUAUAAAAAAACGUUGAUAGCAUUCAAAAAACUGUUUGUGAAAAUUCAGAAAACUGUUUGUGAAAAAAAUGUUUCAUACCAUCCAAAAAAAUGUACGAUGCGUUUGGAAAAAAAUGUUCACACCUUUCAAAAACAUUGUGACAUUUACAAAAAUGUUAUGUAUAUUUUUUUAAAAGAUCCGCAUAGUUUAAGAAAAUGCUUCCUCUAAAAAAAUAUUUGAACGAGUAUUUGAAAAAUGGUUAGCAUGUAUACCAAAAAUGUUGAAAAACAUGUAUUUGAAAAAAAUGGUAAUCAUGUAUUUGCAAAAUCUUUUAGAUGUAUACGAAAAAAUGUGUAUGAAAAAAGUAGUCAUUAAAACAUAUAUUUGAAAAAAGUUAAUCAUAUAUUUGAAAAAUGUUAAAAAUGUAUAGAACAUGUUUCUCAUGUAUAAACAAUGUACAAUGUGUAUGAAAAGUAGACAUGUAUUCGAAAAGACCACGGACGAAAACCAACUACAGGUGAAAACCGAAGGGAAAAAACUAAGGAAACCAAAAAAAAAACAAAAA
rnacentral:lncRNA from 1 species